UGGCGGACGGGUGAGUAACGCGUAAAGAACUUGCCCUUUAGACUGGGAUAACAGAGGGAAACUUCUGAUAAUACUGGAUAAGUUAGUAUAUCGCAUGAUAUGCAAAUGAAAGCUACGGCACUAAAGGAGAGCUUUGCGUCCUAUUAGCUAGUUGGUAAGGUAAGAGCUUACCAAGGCGAUGAUAGGUAGCCGGCCUGAGAGGGUGGACGGCCACAAGGGGACUGAGAUACGGCCCUUACUCCUACGGGAGGCAGCAGC
rnacentral:rRNA from 1 species